GCGUCCGUGGCGGAAUUGGAAGACGCGCCGGAUUCAGGCUCCGGUAUCCGUGAAUGGAUGUGCAGGUUCGACCCCUGCCGGACGCACCA
rnacentral:tRNA from 2 species